rfam:Gossypium arboreum cultivar AKA8401 contig_4371_3, whole genome shotgun sequence.
UGUUAAAAUAUUCAUCCAUCUGUACUGUUAAAAAUUGGCGUAGUUGAUAAAAUAAUAAGACAGUAACACGUGACAUAUCAGUUUUAUCUCAUACUGAUGUAUAGAGACUAAUUUUCAACAAUAAAAAUAGAUAAAAUUUUUAACA